CCUCUCAAUGGGGAGGUCAGAGAACAGCAACUGCACCUCGGUCUCUUUGAAUCACCAUCAUCCUCUCACAAGAAGAGAAGAAAAGGUCUACCAGAGGUCUCCUUUAGGAUGCAUGAAGAAAUCCCUUAAUCAUAUCUGAUAUCAUGAUUGGUGGCCUGCCCUUGUUUGAAGUAUUGCCCAUGUCUCUCCUGGUCUUUAAAACGUCAGCAAACUCUCCAAUGAGUCAGUCUGGAAGUUGUCUCUGGCAGUCACAGGAGAAGAGAGGCAACUAUGGAGGAAGAACCGAGCUCUCCAGAAGGAGCAACACAACGACACUUUCCCAAGAACGCUGGAAUUUAUUUAAAAUAUAGGAGACACUGGCACAGGAUAGAGAAGACACUGUACUUUAUGAGGAAAGAGGAGUUGCAAUAGUUCAAAAGAAACGUGAGAUGUACAAAUUUACAGCCGUCUCUACUCCCAAUGUUCACAAGGACAAUUUAUGCCCAAUUUUCGGUAAAACCUUCUGAGCACAUGUUGGUCUGAUCAGUCAUAGUUGGACACACUGUACUUUGACCCUGACAUGGUGAUAUCAUUUUGAGCCUCUUCAAGUAUGAAGGACAACAUUUUCUCCUGCAAUAUUUAUGUUUGAGUGUGUGUGCGUGUGUGUUUAUAUAAACUCCUUGAGAAAAGGGA